rnacentral:rRNA from 1 species
UACGUAGGGCGCAAGCGUUGUCCGAGAUUAUUGGGCGUAAAGAGCUCGUAGGCGGUUUGUCGCGUCUGCUGUGAAAACCCGGGGCUCAACCCCGGGCCUGCAUUCGAUACGGGCAGACUAGAGUUCGGUAGGGGAGUCUGGAAUUCCUGGUGUAGCGGUGAAAUGCGCAGAUAUCAGGAAGAACACCCGUGGCGAAGGCGGCUCUCUGGGACGGUACUGACGCUGAGACGCGAAAGCGUGGGGAGCGAACAGG